UGAGCGUGCGUGCAUGCUCUUUCCUGUCCGCAUGUGGCCCUACCACGGGCAGACCAACACGAAUGCACCUGCAGCCACAGCUCCUCUACCGCUGUGGCACCACGGCUUCAUCCUCGUCGUCUAGGACGAGCCCGUCCUGCCGUCGAAUCGGGGCUGUGCGUCGUACGCGCUCCUCUCGCCCUUUCUAGCCCCUUCCUUCGCGUACGUGCUGCACGAUCGGCGCUGAACGGACCUGGGCGUGGACUGCAUGGCCUGAUCCACAGCGGGCCGUGUCCAGGGUCCUGCUCGAGGGCAGAAGCAGUGGGCGUCUGUCGUGCGGGUAGCAGGGGGUGGUUGUCGAGGCGGAUGCCGGAUGAGCUCAGGGAGGCGCUCGGCCAGCCUCGGGUCAGAGCCCUCAGAACUCUCCCGCACUCUGCCUGCAUGUGUUAUGCUGCUCCCUCUGAGUGGCUCCACACCGCGGCACUCCAGAAUGUGGCCCGGAGACACUCCACAUGGGUGUCCGGAGCACUCGAUGAUGCAACUUGAGGGUGCUCUUCUCAUGUUUGCGGCACCUGUGCCUCAUCGACGCCCGCCUGAUUGGAUACGAGAGAUGCCGCACAUGUUUCGCGCACACGCGCUGGGUGGCUCAUUGGUAUGGGUGCCUCUCUUUCGAAUACUUAUCAAAUCGGGGGCACGGUUCACGUUGAGCAAGCGCAAACCCCUCAACCAUGACCUAGCAUCUCUUCGGCUCGGCAACGGCGCCAGGCUGCCUGGCUUCCCCGGAAAGAGCAUGCGUGUGUGUAGGGGGGGAAGGUAGGGGGAGGCGCCUGGACCGCGUGAUACCGUUGUGAGUCGGUCGGUAUUUUCAUGGGCGCGCACCUGUCUGCCAGCACGAAGCGGCACACUGCGGACCCUCUCCCGCCAGACGUCCAGCCCUCUGUUGGCACGGCCGCUGCGCCCCCAACGCCUUCCUCCUCUCUCUCCUCCCUGCCAUCUGAUCACCUUCAUCAUCAUCCUCCUUCACUCUUGCCCACACCCGCGUAG
rnacentral:misc_RNA from 1 species